CCUACGGGAGGCAGCAGUGGGGAAUAUUGCACAAUGGGGGAAACCCUGAUGCGGCGACGCCGCGUGAGUGAAGAAGUAUUUCGGUAUGUAAAGCUCUGUCAGCAGGGAAGAAGAAAGACGGUACCUGACCAAGAAGCCCCGGCUAACUACGUGCCAGCAGCCGCGGUAAU
rnacentral:rRNA from 1 species